rnacentral:rRNA from 1 species
AGUGAACGCUGGCGGUAGGCCUAACACAUGCAAGUCGAACGGUAACAGGUCUUCGGAUGCUGACGAGUGGCGAACGGGUGAGUAAUACAUCGGAACGUGCCUAGUAGUGGGGGAUAACUACUCGAAAGAGUGGCUAAUACCGCAUGAGAUCUACGGAUGAAAGCAGGGGAUCGCAAGACCUUGUGCUACUAGAGCGGCCGAUGGCAGAUUAGGAAGUUGGUGGGAUAAAAGCUUACCAAGCCGACGAUCUGUAGCUGGUCUGAGAGGACGAUCAGCAACACUGGGACUGAGACACGGCCCAGACUCCUACGGGAGGCAGCAGUGGGGAAUUUUGGACAAUGGGCGAAAGCCUGAUCCAGCAAUGCCGCGUGCAGGAUGAAGGCCUUCGGGUUGUAAACUGCUUUUGUACGGAACGAAAAGCCCCGGGUUAAUACCCUGGGGUCAUGACGGUACCGUAAGAAUAAGCACCGGCUAACUACGUGCCAGCCGCCGCGGUAA